ACGGGAGGCAGCAGUGAGGAAUAUUGGUCAAUGGGCGGAAGCCUGAACCAGCCAUGUCGCGUGCAGGACUACGGCCCUACGGGUCUUAAACUGCUUUUGCAAGGGGAUAAAGUGGGGCACGCGUGCCCCUUUGCAGGUACCUUGCGAAUAAGGAUCGGCUAACUCCGUGCCAGCAGCCGCGGUAAUACGGAGGAUCCGAGCGUUAUCCGGAUUUAUUGGGUUUAAAGGGUGCGUAGGCGGGCUGUUAAGUCAGCGGUGAAACCCCCGGGCUCAACCCGGGGACUGCCAUUGAAACUGGCGGCCUUGAGUACGUUGGGAGUGCGCGGAAUGUGUGGUGUAGCGGUGAAAUGCAUAGAUAUCACGAAGAACUCCGAUUGCGAAGGCAGCCUCCUGGACCGUAAAUGACGCUCAUGCACGAAGGCGCGGGUAUCAAACAGGAUUAGAUACCCUGGUA
rnacentral:rRNA from 1 species